rfam:Tauraco erythrolophus contig40847, whole genome shotgun sequence.
GUGCAUGCUGGGCUAUAAUUUAUGAAACGGAGCCCAGGAAACAACCAAUCGCUUAGCUCCUCCUAACAAGUCCAACUGGCUAUGAAAAGCUGGAAGUGCUGCACAGAACAAUGAAGAGGAGCUAUCCCACAUAUUAAUCUGCUUAUCUAGGAUUGCCUUCUGUGUAGAGAGAGGGAAGCAUGUAACUGGGGAGGGGGGGGGACACACACGUGAAGAGAAAAAUCACAGCUUCGCUGUUGAAACAACAGAAUAAAUUUCAAUCAAUAGGAAAAUUUUCCAUGGAAAAU